CAGCCUAUUUUGUCUGCCAAAUUGUCUUGACUAGUAUUGCUUUUCUUAACUGAUACGCCUUGCCUUCUUCGCAAACUGACAUGAACAUCAAAAAAGACAAGAUAUACUUCAUGUCCUCCUUGAACUUCUGUUCCUUAGCUUUUACCAUGUUGUUUUUAGUCUGCAUCCCAUGUUGUUCAUGCGCAGUUAGCCAGCAAUAGGCACGUAUAACACAAGGAAGGUUGACACAGUUUGAUUCAUAGCUGGUUCCUACUUCUCUUAGUCACUGUAGACGUUGAGUUUCUUGAGCUAACAGGGAGUAGCUAGAAGAAGUACCCUAAACCGGUGGCUGAUCACCCGGUGAUCAGUUUGGCCAUUGUGAGAUGUGAGAAAAACAGCAGUCUGUUUCUGCAAUAUCCGUUCGGAUCAAGGAGAUUUCAGAUGUCCCUUUGGUGGUUAGAAUGGAGGAUCUUCACAAGCUGUACUCAGAAGCCUUGCCGAACAUACCUAUUUCUGUAAUCAAAGGGACACCUGUAGACAAGAGAGUGGCACAUUUCUGCAAGGCGUUGACAUAUAUUAGAGAUUCAUGGAUGGUUAGAUUCAGAUAUGAUAAGACUGGUAAAAUCAAGAACACCGAUGGGGCACAA